rnacentral:rRNA from 1 species
UACGAAGGUCCCAAGCGCUAUCCGGAUUAUUGGGUUUAAAGGGUGCGUAGGCGGCUUAUUAAGUCAGUGGUGAAAGCCCCAAGCUUAACUUGGGAACUGCCAUUGAUACUGAUGAGCUUGAGUAGAUUUGAGGCGGGCGGAAUGUGUCGUGUAGCGGUGAAAUGCUUAGAUAUGACACAGAACACCAAUUGCGUAGGCAGCUCGCUAAACUCUUACUGACGCUGAGGCACGAAAGCAUGGGGAUCAAACAGGG